UACGGAAGGUCCUGGUGUUAUCCGGAUUUAUUGGGUUUAAAGGGAGCGUAGGCGGCUUUUUAAGCGUGUUGUGAAAUGCAGGUGCCCAACAUCUGCACUGCAGCGCGAACUGGAGAGCUGGAGGGCGCACGACGCAGGCGGAAUUUGUGGUGUAGCGGUGAAAUGCUUAGAUAUCACGAAGAACCCCGAUUGCGAAGGCAGCUUGCGGGAGCGCACCUGACGCUGAAGCUCGAAAGUGCGGGGAUCAAAC
rnacentral:rRNA from 1 species